UUCCAGCUGGUUUUGAGGAAGUGAGCUGCCAUGUACUAGGCCACGUGGCAAGGGCCUGGUUGGGGACCUCCAGGGGUUGAGAGCAUCCUCUGGACAACAUGGAAAAAGAAAAUGAAAAUGGUGACCUCAGCCCUAUAGCUAGAAGGAAUUGAAUCCUGUCAACAACGAUACUCAUCACUCACUGCAGAUGUUACUUUAAGACAUUCUGGAGCAGCGUCAUGUGCAGGAACAAUAAGGAAGUGAGUGCUUUUGUAAUUCCUGAACAACUGUGUCUUACACUUACUAAGUUCUCUUGCCUGCCACCAUGUAAGAUAUGCUUUUACUCUUCCGCCUUCCACCGUGACUGUGAGGCCUCCCCAGCCAUGUGAAACUGCCUUUGAGCUUAUACUGAAUUAUACCACCAGCUUUCCUAGGUCUUGAAGCUUACAGACAGCAGAUCUUGGGACUUCUCAGGCACCAUAAUCAAUCAUAGAUAAAUGAUCCAAUGAUUCGGAACUUGAAAAGUGGUAGCUUUAUGAAUUCUCCUUAAGAAGAAACCUGUGCCCUGAUCUUGCCUACUCACCCAAAGGCACUGUGAGAUAGCAUCAAAGGAACAGCUAGUAAGAGACACAGAGCCAGAAAUCAGGGAAGUAAAAUACACUUGACAUCUACGUUCGGAAAGAAAUUUUAGGAGGCAGAAGCAAAUGGAUCAGAAGCUGCUUAUAUUUUUGCAAGAUUACCAAAGAAACCAUUGGUGGAGAAAGUUCUGUGACCAACUUGUCUGAGUCUAGUAAGAUUGAACGCUCACACACAAGUUUCAUGAAGUGGGUUUGAUACUUACAGAUAAGCAGCAAGGACCAACAGAAGCUGAUGAUCUAUGGUGAACUUUUUCCCAAGGCUCCGGAAAGCUGCCUAAAGUAGAUGGAGUCUUCUCUGUGUGUGCCCCACUGGUCCUGCAGUUGAAGGAUCCGGUAAAGCAGCCUGCCCUUGGUUUUAUACUCCAGAGGAACGUGAUUCGCUGGACUAAAGCAUUGAAGUGCAUCCUGUUUCCGGGGGGCACUGGAACAGAGCCUGGUCUGUUCUAGCCAGUCCCUUUCUAUCUCAGGAUAACAUUCUACAGUUAUUCUUGAGAACUAUAAUCAAAUAAGCAGGGAGAACUGGGAAAGCAGAGGCUCAUUGUGGAACCCUCAAGGAGCAUGGGGUCGUCUUCAUCCCUCAGUUUAUAAAUGGCCAAGGAGAGUAAUGCAACAAAAACUUCUCAGAGUUAAAAGCCAGAGUUCCUAAAGAACCGUGGACAAAGGGUUCUGUCUAGUGGGCAGAAUUCAUCCAGCGAAGGUCUCCUAACUACAGAGGGUCACAUCUGGAUCUGAUGGCACCUACAGAACUUGGACUCUGAGCGACAAUCAGUGACCAGGUGUGACUUUAUAUUAUCUCUGUCAGGGAAGGGUGAGAGUUUUCAAUGUGUGAACAUAGAAUAAAAUGGUCUGGUGACCAAAAGGCUCUAUUAAAGAUAAUAUGAGAUGUUCAAAACACUGGCUAUUUUCUUGGGAACAAAAGUUGAACUUCUAAAUCUUUCUCACAGAUUGUAGACCAAAGGAAUGAAUUCUGAUUGGCAGAAUAUAAGCCUACGUAAUAUAAAAAAGACUUCCAGGUUUGGCCCUCUGAGUCUUGACUCAUUACACACCAUCUCACAGCCUUAUUUUGCCUUUCAACAGGAAAUUUGGAACCCAGGUUUUCCCAACCUACAUCUACAAAAUGGAAUGGGUCUGAUUCGCAAGUUUUCAGAGAAAGAAGCCAACCUUAAUCAGACUGUGAUAUGAUGAGGAAAUAAAACUUGCUGUGCUAAUCAACUGAUACUGGGAAGCAUG
rnacentral:lncRNA from 1 species